UACGAAGGGGGCUAGCGUUGUUCGGAUUUACUGGGCGUAAAGCGCGUGUAGGUGGGUUGGUAAGUUACUUAUAAAAGCCCCCGGCUAAACUGGGGGAGGUUGAGUGAUACUGCCAGUCUUGAAUAGAGGAGAGGUUGACGGAAUUCCGCGUGUAGUGGUGAAAUGCGUAGAGAUGCGGAAGAACACCAGUGGCGAAGGCGGUCAACUGGCCUCAUAUUGACACUCAGACGCGAAGGCAUGGGUAGCGAACGGG
rnacentral:rRNA from 1 species